rnacentral:lncRNA from 1 species
GGGAGGGGCGGGAGUAGGCCGGGGUUGACCGUUUGGUCCUGGGCGCACUGUCUGGAGCCAGAGUUCCGCCUGAGCCAGGAUGCCCGCUGGUGUGACCCCCCCAAAUGAAUCCCUUCCCAGGUUUAAGACUGGACCCAAAAACUAGAGAAUAAAAGGAAAUAACGUGCAAUGCAUGUGAAAAACUAUUCAAGGCUGGGCGCCGUGGCUCACGCCUGUAAUCUCAGCGCUUUGCGAGGCCGAGGACGGAUCAUUUCAGGGCAAGAGUUCGAGACGAGCCUGAGCAACAUAGCGAGACCCUCCCCAGUCCCCCCGCUCCAACCACCUCUACAAAAAAA